UGAUCCAAAUGAACAGUGGGGACGUAUAGUGUAUCCUUUGCAUUGCUCCAGCCUCCAAUUUGAAAUAUUUGUCAGAUAGCUAAGGGAGUUUUUUACUAUAUUGAAAUUAUUCUGAUAUUAUGAUUGUUGUGACCCCACUUAGUACAUUGUCUUGUUAGAGACACGCGUUAGACUUGCACCUGCAAAUGAGGGUGAUAAGCAGCAGCUUCAGUGGUUCUGUGAUGCAUGCAAAGGAAUUCCACAGGCAAUGCAUCCUCCUGCUUUUCUGCAUAAUCCUGUGUCUUCAACAGUUCAAGCGACAGCUCCUCCAUCUGCAGAAGAGUUAGAAUUAGCAAUGGCACUCAAUGCCUCUAUCCAGUCUGCCAUGGCAGAGGCACCAAUUAUUGAUGCUCACUCUGGUGGAGCAAGUGCUUCCACCAGUUGGAAUGAGCCCGUGAAUGCUGGCAGUCAAAGUGUUCUUCCUUCAAAAGCAACUGGUAGUAUGUGGGCUGCACAUGAAGCUGGCCCUAGUGGCAAUCCAACUCAGCACCAGAUCCAGAACAGCGACAUCUCUACUGUGCAGACAGCAACUCAAGCCCCUGAUUCAGUCCCAUCAGCUCCAUCCAUCAUAGAUGAGAUUGUAGAAGAUGGUCCAAUUCAUUAUCCAUCGAUUGAUUCUAGUCCUAUUGAUAUGUGUUCCCCUCCUGUGGAUAACUUAGCAGCUAGCACAGGCGAAAAGAAAGAGAAUGGUGGUUCUUCAUCCUGCACUAUAUGUUUGGAUGCUCCAGUUGAGGGGGCGUGCAUCCCAUGUGGCCAUAUGGUUGGUUGUAUGUCUUGUUUAAAGGAGAUCAAAGCAAAGAAAUGGGGUUGCCCUGUGUGCCGUGCCAAUAUCGACCAGGUUAUAAGGCUGUAUGCUGUUUGAAAGUUCAAGCAGAAUGAGAAAGGUGCAAACGGUAAUUACGAUUCAAGCAUUUCAUAGAGAUUUGUUUCUACCUUUGUUUCCACCUUCUUACUCACAACUUACCUAUACAUGAGUUAAAUUCCCCUCCAAAUAUUUUUAUGCUUUCCUUCGACUUUUAUAUGAUAUUGGUACCUUACAUACUUUUUAAUUUUUAUCAAUUUCAAAAAGGAAAAGACCUUUUUCAUCCCUACAUUUUUGUGAAAAUUUUAUUUUCUUUUUUAGCAUUCAUCUUCAGGCACAAAGAUAAAGUUUUAUUUCUGCCCCUGCAUAUUCCUCCUGGUAGGAUCAAGUGCUUGCUUUUAAUGUAUAUUUUGCCGGCAUAACAUUGUUGACCAACUUAUUUGGAAGUUGGAAAUUUUUUUUCUGAUUCUCUGAAUGAUAUAAAAAUUAUAUCAAAACCGGAAGAAGCUAUAGGCUUUAUACCAAUAAUAAGUUGCAUGAUCAGAGACUGUAAGGAGGUCAAUGAUACCUUAGAAACCACAAAGUAACGGUAUAAGAAAGUAAAUUUAAGAGAGCAAGGAGAUGCUAACUGCCAGAUAUUAUCUGCAGCUGCAGGUGAGUUUGAUCACACUGAAGAAUCAAUAACUUCAGCAGCACAAGAUCUGUCCAUGAGCGGUGCAAAA